ACAGCAGUCGCCGCGGUAAUACGUAUGUCACGAGCGUUAUCCGGAUUUAUUGGGCGUAAAGCGCGUCUAGGUGGUUAUAUAAGUCUGAUGUGAAAAUGCAGGGCUCAACUCUGUAUUGCGUUGGAAACUGUAUAACUAGAGUACUGGAGAGGUAAGCGGAACUACAAGUGUAGAGGUGAAAUUCGUAGAUAUUUGUAGGAAUGCCGAUGGGGAAGCCAGCUUACUGGACAGAUACUGACGCUGAAGCGCGAAAGCGUGGGUAGCAAACAGGAUUAGAUACCCCUGUAGUCCCUGUCUCUUAUACA
rnacentral:rRNA from 1 species